AGGGGUGUAGUUCAAUGGUAGAACAGUGGUCUCCAAAACCGCGUGUUGAGAGUUCGAUUCUUUUCACCCCUGCCA
rnacentral:tRNA from 1 species